rnacentral:rRNA from 1 species
GACGAACGCUGGCGGCGUGCUUAACACAUGCAAGUCGUACGGUAAGGCCCUUUCGGGGGUACACGAGUGGCGAACGGGUGAGUAACACGUGAGUAACCUGCCCACAACUUUGGGAUAACGCUAGGAGACUGGUGCUAAUACUGGAUAUGUGCUCCUGCUGCAUGGUGGGGGUUGGAAAGCUCCGGCGGUUGUGGAUGGACUCGCGGCCUAUCAGCUUGUUGGUGGGGUAGUGGCCUACCAAGGCGGCGACGGGUAGCCGGCCUGAGAGGGUGACCGGCCACAUUGGGACUGAGAUACGGCCCAGACUCCUACGGGAGGCAGCAGUGGGGAAGAUUGCACAAUGGGCGCAAGCCUGAUGCAGCAACGCCGCGUGCGGGAUGACGGCCUUCGGGUUGUAAACCGCUUUCAGCAGGGACGAAGCUUUUUGUGACGGUACCUGCAGAAGAAGCACCGGCUAACUACGUG